rfam:Citrus clementina cultivar Clemenules unplaced genomic scaffold scaffold_2, whole genome shotgun sequence.
GGCCGGUGAUGUAAUAACAAAUAUUUGCUACUCUUGAUUGGGGGAUUUGUUUUUCAAACUAAUUCUUCACUGAUGAUUAUUCACAUCCACCAAGAUCUCUGAGGCC